GAUGAACGCUGGCGGCGUGCCUAAUACAUGCAAGUCGAACGAAGCGGGGACAGGUGAGUAACACGUGGAUAACCUCCUAUAAGACUGGGAUACCUUCGUGAAACCGGAGCUAAACCCGUUACUUAUAGAUGGAUCUGCGCUGCAUUAGCUAGUUGGUAAGGUAACGGCUUACCAAGGCAACGAUGCAUAGCCGACCUGAGAGGGUGAUCGGCAACACUGGAACUGAGAAACGGUCUAGACUCCUAGGGGAGGCGGAAGUAGGGAAUCUUCCGCAAUGGGCGAAAGCCUGACGGAGCAACGCCGCGUGAGUGAUGAAGGUUUUCGGACCGUAAAAAUCUGUUUUUAGGGAAGCGGUACCUAAUCAGAAAGCGACGGCUAACUACGUGCCAGCAGCCGCGGUAAUAC
rnacentral:rRNA from 1 species